GUAUUUCAUCGUGUCAUGAGAUUUGCGUGUUUUGGUUGCGUUCUUGACAGGAAGUUUUAACUGAUUGUUCUGUUAUUUUUACAAACAGGUCGUAAGCGCAUCCCUCUAGGUGCUAUUUCUCCUUCCUCCACAAGAACCGUUUCACGUCUUGGAACUCCAACUCCCACCAAUAUUUCUUGCCAAAUUCCAUUACAUUCUACCCAAGGAACAGUUCCAAUAAUCCAAAUCGCUCUGAAGUCAAUCAUCCAGUCCAUGGGUUUCAGACAUCAACUCAAACCUCAUGUUCCAAUACUACACCUGGUACUUGGUCUCAAAUCACUAAUCGAAGUCAUGGAGUCAGGAAUUCAACUCAGACAGAAGGCACUACCGGUCUUGGUGGUAGUCAAGGAUAUCUGCCACCAUCAUAGAGGCGGCUGCAUGACAUUGAUCUUUCUGAGUGCAGUUUCAUCCCAGUGCGGAACCAAAUAAGCUGUAAAAUAUAGCUCAGUGAUAUGAUCAGUAGUUUAGCACAAGCUGAUUCUGCGGACACCUCUGACUCUUCAUAUGAUGCUCCAAACGUGUAUGCACUCAGGUUAGUUUAUAUUGCUGUUGGAGUUGGAGUAGCUGCUUCCAUUACAUGAUCAUCAGUUUUCUGCUUCAAGGGAGAACAAGGAUCCCACUACUGAAAAAUUCUCUAGCCGGCAGAUUCACAGGUUCCAUCUGGAGCGUACUUUUCCAUAUGAUAAACACAUAGUUUUGAUUAUAUAGUUUUCUAACUAAUAAUUACUAAGCAUGGAACAAAGGUCAUUUAAAAUAAACUCCUGCCACAAAUGUUGGAGUAUUUCUUCAGAGUAAUUUGAGUGAUGAAAAAGGGAAUAAGAACCUCCAAAAUA